rnacentral:rRNA from 1 species
AACGAACGCUGGCGGCAGGCUUAACACAUGCAAGUCGAACGGGUGUCGCAAGGCAUCAGUGGCAGACGGGUGAGUAACACGUGGGAACCUUCCUCGGGGUACGGAACAACGCAGGGAAACUUGCGCUAAUACCGUAUACGUCCGUGAGGAGAAAGAUUUAUCGCCCUGAGACGGGCCCGCGUCGGAUUAGCUAGUUGGUGGGGUAACGGCCUACCAAGGCGACGAUCCGUAGCUGAUCUUAGAGGANGAUCAGCCACACUGGGACUGAGACACGGCCCAGACUCCUACGGGAGGCAGCAGUGGGGAAUCUUGGACAAUGGGCGCAAGCCUGAUCCAGCCAUGCCGCGUGAGUGAUGAAGGCCUUC